rnacentral:rRNA from 1 species
UAAUACGGAGGGUGCAAGCGUUAAUCGGAAUUACUGGGCGUAAAGCGCACUCAGGCGGUUUGUUAAGUCAGAUGUGAAAUCCCCGAGCUUAACUUGGGAACUGCAUUUGAAACUGGCAAGCUAGAGUCUUGUAGAGGGGGGUAGAAUUCCAGGUGUAGCGGUGAAAUGCGUAGAGAUCUGGAGGAAUACCGGUGGCGAAGGCGGCCCCCUGGACAAAGACUGACGCUCAGGUGCGAAAGCGUGGGGAGCAAACAGGAUUAGAUACCCUGGUAGUCCACGCUGUAAACGAUGUCGACUUGGAGGUUGUGCCCUUGAGGCGUGGCUUCCGGAGCUAACGCGUUAAGUCGACCGCCUGGGGAGUACGGCCGCAAGGUUAAA